rnacentral:ncRNA from 1 species
UUAAACGCAAUGAACGGGAGCAGUAAAAGUGAUGAAGUAGAGGCAGAGAGCUGCGGGUUGGUGGAACGCAGACUAUGAAUCCUUUGAACUCGCCCGGGAGCAGCAGGACAGAAAGAAUCUAUUCUUAUGUUUUGACGACUAACCUUCGUUAUCAGGUUUUCAAGCAGGAUUCUGUUUUUUUAGAAUCAACAAGAGUGGUACCGCGGUCAGCCCAAGGCUUAUCGUCUCUUUU